rnacentral:rRNA from 1 species
AUGUCAAGGGUGCCAAAAUGGAAGAUUGAAAAGGCCAAAGUUAAAGUUGUAUUCCGGCUGCAAUUCCAUGCAACAAAUAUUCCAUCUACAGGAUGGGACAAGUUGUUUUUGUCCUUUAUCUCUGCUGAUACAGGAAAGGUAACUGCAAAAACAAAUAAAGCAAAUGUGAGGAAUGGAAGCUGUAAAUGGCCAGAUCCUAUUUAUGAAGCAACACGACUUCUUCAGGAUUCUAGGACUAAGACAUAUGAUGACAAGCUCUACAAGCUUGUUGUGGCCAUGGGGACUUCUCGAUCUAGUAUUCUUGGGGAGGUCGAUGUUAAUCUUGCCGAAUUUGCAGAAGCAGUGAAGCCUGUUUCAAUCACACUUCCUUUUCGUGGUUGCAACUUUGGAACAGUAUUACAUGUCACGGCACAACUGCUCAGCACCAAAACUGGCUUCAGGGAAUUUGAACAGCAAAGAGAAACUGGUGCCAGAAGUUCCCAGCAGCUAGUGAAUCAAAGAAGUCACGAUCCUUCUGAAGUUGCUGUUGCUUCAUCCAAUGUUGGUAGUGAUAAGGCUAACGCAAGGAAUAAGUUAAAAGAAACUUCUUUGGGGUUCCCUGUGGCCGAAGAUUCUGCGGGUUCAACCGAAGAUUAUGAAAAUUCAUCACAUAAUUCAGAUGGUUAUUUUGCCGAAAAGAAUGAUCCGUGUGGCAGUCAUGAAAUCAGUAGCUUUAGGAGCAUACACUCAGGUGAUUUACCACUUUGUCCGACAAGUCAAAGCCCUACACCAGAGAAGGGGCCAUUUCGGGGUAAGCGUCUUUCACCACAAGGGAGCAGUGAUUGGAGUCAUGGUUGGAGUCCUGAGUUCUCUGCCAGUCAUGAUCUUGCUGCUGCUCAUGACGAGAAUAAUCGACUCAAGUCCAGAUUGGAGGUGGCUGAGUCGGCCUUUUCUCAGCUCAAGUCAGAAGCAACAUCCCUGCAAGAUGUCACUGACAAAUUAGGCAGUGAAACGCAGGGCCUAGCUAACCAGCUUGCUGUUGAACUUAUGUCACGCAGCGAGCUCACUACUGAAGUAUCUUCCCUAAGGACAGAAUGUUCUAGUUUGAAAAGAGAGUUGGAAGAAAUGAAAUCUGCUAAACCCUUGCAGCAUAAGGCUGAUGGAGGAAAUGGUGUUCUUGCUACAGAUAGUUCAGUACAUAAUCUCCAAACAGAAUGGCUGCAAGGCUUGCUGCUUCUUGAAAGUAAACUGCAGCAGACCAGAAAUAAUGCUCUCCAUGGACUUCAAGCAAGUGAUCUUGAUUUCCUUCUUGCUGAUAUAGGGGCUCUUCAGCGUGUUAUUGAGAACCUCAAGCAAGGUGUUCAGCUUGGACAAAUGAAAGAAAAUAAUUAUCAAGAACAUUUGGCUCCACCAUCCAAUGUUGCCCAUCAAUCAAGCUCCGGACGUGAUCAUAAUUCCGACAAGAAAAACACUGGCAGUACAGCCACGAUGGAGGAAAAAAUGUGUGGGCUCUUGCAGAAGUUGGAGGACUCAAAAACUGAGAAGGAGAAUCUUCUGGAGAAGAUGAGCCAGAUUGAGCGCUACUACGAAUCUUUUAUCCACAAGCUUGAGGAAAGCCAGAAGCAGACAGCAAUUGAAUUGGAAAAUCUUAGGAAAGAACACAAUUCUUGUUUCUACACAGUUUCUGUCCUCCAAGCCCAGAAGCAGAAAAUGCAUGAGGAGAUGAAUGACCAGCUAAUGAGAUUUGCUGAGGACAGAACAGCUUUAGAAGCUCAAAAUAAGGAGUUCGAGAGGAGAGCUGUUGCUACGGAAACAGCACUUAAGAGGGUCCGAUGGAAUUAUUCUGCAGCUGUUGAUCGUCUACAGAAAGACCUUGAGUUGCUGUCCUUUCAGGUUCUCUCUAUGUAUGAGUCAAGUGAAACUCUUGCAAAGCAACCCAUUGUAGAAGAUGCUGAGCAUUUUCCUGAAGAGCAUUCUGCAAUAGCAGAUUUAAGCGGUACUAUAGAACAUGACCAAGACAGGCCUGUUGUCAAACAACGGGGAACUGAAGGUCUUCAUGAGGCAACUGCAUCUCAAAUGUUUUCAACUGAAAAUGGCACAUCACUUAGUUUUAGCUACAAAAUGGAUGACCAGCAAAACCUCCUUCGGGCUGCCAAAAUUGAAGAACUUCGUAGCAGAUCUGAAGUCAUAUGUAAUCCUGAUUCACAGGUGAACUGCUCCAACACCGAAGGACCAAAAGAUGCUUCUUCCACAAUGGAAUCUGAUAUUUUAGAAACGUACGCUGUUAACAUUCAGUGGCAGGUGUUCUCUGAUGUGCUACGGGAAUCUCACUAUACUGCACUGGAUAUGAUUAAGCAAAUGCAGGGAAGGCUAUACGUGCUAGAAAAAGAACUCCAUGACUCUAAUGAUGCUAGGGAGUCUUUAAUGCUCAAGUUAAACUCUGCACUGGACCAAUCAAAAAGUUUGAAAGAAAGUGAAUCAGGAUACAUUUUCAAGUGUGAUGAUCUGACAGUGAAGAACCAAAUAUUAGAAGCAAAGCUCCAAGAUAUUUCAGUUGAAAAUGCUUUACUUAUGGAAAGGCUUGUGGUAUCUGAAACACUUGUUGAGGAACAUAAAACUUGUGAAAGCAAGUACAAUGCCUGCACUGAAGAAAGGAAGAGAUUUGAGAACCUUUUAAUGAAAGAAAGUCAGCAAACUAGUCAGCUUAAGGAUGAGCUCAGAUCAGUAAUGGAAGAUUUUGAGGCAGUGAAAGAUGAAUUACGUAAGCAGUCCUCCUUAAUCAGUGAGCAGCAAAUUGUUUCUACAUCACUUCAAGAGCAACUGAGCAUCCUAUGCUCUAAACUUAUUUCUUUGAGCAAGGACAUCGACAUUCCAUGCUUGGAUGACGUAUCUUUGCUACAUGAACUUGAGAACAAGAAUUAUGCUGCUGUCAUAGCAAGCUUGGAAUUCUUCCAGCAGCAAGCAUGCCAGAAGGUGCUUCAUCUCCAUCACGAAAAGGACGCAUUGGAAGAAAUGUGCGAUUUUCUCCGGAAGAGAUCAGACAAGUCUGAAACAGAAUUGCUUGAUGUGAAGCAGAAGUUUCAUUGUGAUAUGGCUGGAACAGAAGAAAAGUUGAAUAUUUCUGAGGGACAUGUAGAGAAGCUUCAGCAGGAACUGCAGGAAAUGGUACAUAAAUUUGAGAUAAUCUCAGAGGCUCAAGAACAACACUCAAUCAGCAAUGGUGACUUAACAUCAAAGUUGGCAAAAAUGGAAGUUGAGCUGCGGAUUGUCACCAGUGAGAAUGAGACUCUUGUUGAAAAGAUGAAAGACAUUGCUGCUGUUGUUCAGGAACUUGAGAGGACCAAAAUAACUCUUGCAGAAUCCGACGAAGAUAACAAAACUUUGGCCGAGUCUCUACAGUCUAAAGACGAACUGUUGAUGCACAUGGAAAAUGAAAUCAGAGGUUUGCAAAAUUGUCUGAGCUGUACCGAGGGAAAUUUGCUAAGAGAAAAGACAACGAGGGAAGAUCUUGAAUCUGCCCUCGCAAGUCUUACAUCUCAACUUAGUGAGAAGGAUCAGGUCCUGCUAUCUUAUAAUGAGGACAAAACAGAGUUACUUCAUCUGAGGGACCAGAUUUCGGACAUGAGUAAAGAAAACAGUUUGAUGCAAGAUGCUCUUUCAGAAAGUGAGCAAAUCAAAAGGGACCUCAGUUGUAAGAAUUGCUCUCUUCAGUCCCAGCUCGCCAAUGCUGAAAAUCAGUUAGGAACAAUUCUGGAGGACUUUCUUGCCACUGAAAUUGAAGCUAGUUGCAUGAGAAGUCAGGUUGAGGAGGUUGCUGUGCAACUUGAAUACUUAAAAAAUGAUUUUGGGAAGCUUCAGCUUAAGAACAAAGAUGCUGACGAGUUAUUAAGGGCGCACAUGUUGACUGUAGCAGAAUUAACUGACAGAAAUGCCACACUUGAAUCAGCUAUCCAUUCUCAAGAAAUCAACUUUGCCAGGGUUAUUCAAGAGAAGGAAGGGCUUGAAGAGCUUAUAAAAAGAAAUGAACAGACAUUGGCUCAGGUUAGCAAUAGUGAGUCUCGAGAUACAUCAGUAUCAAUUAAUAACAGUGAGGCAGAAUUGAAGUAUCAAGAUGAGAUUGUGCAGCUUAGAGCCGUGCAGACAAAUCUUGAGGAGCAUGUUGAUGGUUUGAGAUCAGCGAAAGAUGAAGUUGAAAUUCUAAACGUGGUUCUGAAAUCAAAAUUGGAGGAACACCAUACUGAGGCGUCAUCACUGCUACAGGAUUCUGGAUAUCAGUUGACAAAUUUAAAAGAACAGAACAAAGAGCUUACGCAGAAACUUGCUGAACAAACUCUGAAGGCAGAAGAGUUCAAGAACCUGUCUAUCCAGUUGAGAGAGCUAAAAGAAAAGGCUGAAGCUGGGAAAAAGGAGAAAGAGGGGUCGUUGUUCGCCAUACAAGAUUCCCUUAGAAUUGCAUUUAUCAAAGAGCAAUAUGAAUCAAAGGUUCAAGAGCUUAAAAGUCAGGUGUUUGUCUCUAAAAAGUAUUCUGAAGAGAUGUUACUGAAGUUACAAAGUGCUUUGGACGAGGUUGAAACUGGGAGGAAAAACGAGAUUGCUCUGGCUAAAAGAAUUGAAGAGCUAUCAAUGAAAGUUUCUGAACUGGAGGUGGAGAUGCAGGAUUUAUCUGCUGAUAAAAGAGAGUUGUCUAAUGCAUAUGACAGCAUAAUGACGGACUUGGAAUGCACAAAACUGAACUUCGAUUGCUGUAAAGAAGAAAAGCAGAGGAUUGAGGUCUCUCUUCAGGAGUGCAGUGAGGAACGCAAUAGAAUAAGGGUGGAGCUUGACUUAGUGAAAAAGUUGCUGGAGAAUAUGGCAUUAACCGACCAUGUCGCGUCACCUGAUAAUUCUGGAUCACGCAUCCCUCGUGCCACAUCUAUCGGGCAAAUUCUGGGAGAUGUUAAAUCUGGGUCUGCACCAGAGUUAAUACCAAAACUAACAGAAGUUGAUUCAGAAUUACAGGAAGAUGAAGGUGAAAUCCAUAGCACACAUAUUUCAUCAAAUGUAGCAGAAUCAGAAGAUGUUGGUAAGUCUGAUGAGCAUCCACAUGCCAAGCAUGCACCGACAAAGAACUUGGAGAACUGCCAUAAGCAAUCUGAGGAAUCAUUGGAGGAUCAUCCAACUGUCGACAAUACCAUCAAAGAUAUUUCUAAAGAGCAUAAGAAAUUGGCAAAUGACUUGAAUCUUUUCCAGAAAGAGCUGGAAAGACUUAAAAAUGAGAAUUCAUCCCCUCUUCUUCCCCUUGACAUUAAUCUUAUUGAUCCGUCGCUCAGUGGUUUGGAAAGGGCGUUAUCACAGCUUGAUAUGGCAAAUGAACAUUUGCGAAGCAUUUUCCCUUCAUUUAAAGAGCUUCCUGGUUCUGGAAAUGCCUUGGAAAGAGUACUUGCUUUGGAGCUUGAGUUGGCGGAAGCGCUGCAAACAAAGAAGAAGACGGACAUCCUUUUCCAGAGCUCAUUCUUGAAGCAACACAACGACGAAUCAGCGGUGUUCCAAAGCUUCAGGGACAUCAAUGAGCUGAUACAGGAUACAAUCGAGUUGAGGAGAAAACAAGUGGCUGUCGAGAGCGAGUUGGAGGAAAUGCACGGCAGGUACUCGGAGCUCAGCUUGCAGUUUGCCGAGGUGGAAGGCGAACGACAGAAACUCGCAAUGACCCUGAAAGCCCGGUCACCCAGGAAAUAA